AGUUCUUGGCAUAUCAGCACCACAUUCCUCAAGGCAAAAAAUCCCAACUCAAAUAGCACAUGAAAUUUAUUUAUAAAGAACAGUUAAUGAACCAGUCUUCUGAUUUCCCACAUCAUCUCAUGCAUCAGCACAGAAGUACCCCUUGCUGGUACACUGGGAAGGCUGUUCUCUACCCCACAGGAUUUUCAUGUUGCUCUACCGUGCCAAAUCUUCCUCAAAGCUUAUCUGGGACAAGAAGAUUCCCUCUUCCUCCCCAAAUGAGAAUAUAACCUCUUCCAUUUCUGUUCAGGGUGGCAGGGAAAGGAAGGGAAGGGAAGGGAAGGGAAGGGAAGGGAAGGGAAGGGAAGGGAAGGGAAGGGAAGGGAAGGGAAGGGAAGGGAAGGGAAGGGAAGGGAAGGGAAGGGAAGGGAAGGGAAGGGAAGGGAAGGGAAGGGAAGGGAAGGGAAGGGAAGCUGGACUGGCUUCACCUUCAAAUACAGGGAUGAGCUCAAGCGGCACUACAACCUGGGCCAGUACUGGGUGGAGGUGGAGAUGGAGGACCUGGCCAGCUUUGAUGAGGAUCUGGCCGACUAUCUGUACAAGCAGCCCACUGAGCACCUGCAGCUGGUAAGGAUGCUCUGCCACACAGAGGGACCAGCUUCCCGAUGGGAAAAGCCAUGGGAAAUGCCUACUUUUUCCAAAAAAGAGGGUGUUCCUGCUCUGCUGCACUGGUCACAGCACACAGGGCUCUCUGAAACCAAACCCUGCCCCAAAAUGCAGAGCUUUGGAGGAAGCUGGGACUCAAACGUCCCUGCUUCAUAGUUACAUGCCAGCUGCCUUCUCACCCGGCAAACCAGAUCAGGGCCUACUCCUCCUCAGUCUUCUGCUUUCAAAUGAAAGCCCCUGCAAGCAGUAUCAGCAAUAGGAAACAGUCUCACCUGCCUGCCCUGGAGUGAUUUUUUUUUUUUUUUUUUUUUUUUUUUUUUGUAAUAAAUGAAGAAAAAGGGAGGGGAAGGGGUAAAACAAGC
ensembl:lncRNA